CAAUCUUUCCCUAAGGCAUAUUUGGCAGGGUCUAAUAUUUUAUUACUUAUAAUCUCAAGUCCAUACAGGGUGCUUUUUGAUGUCACCUCUAAUUAUAUUCACAUACUGAAGUACACAUGUUACCAGUUAUAAAGUUGUACUGACCUUUGUCAUUAAAAAAAAAAAACUAAAAGCUAAAAAAUGUGUUCAAAGGACUUUCACUUUCAAUUGGCAGAAAAUCUAGCCCAAACUCAUUUUAUAAAAGGAGCUGACUCACUCACUAAACUGAAAUACAUAGGAGAGGCCUGGUUUUCUCUCUGUUUCUCUCUUCUCCUUUGCUUCCUCUCUUCUUUCCUGUUUUCUCUCUUUUGCUCUCUCCACUGUUGCAUCUCUUCCAGGUCUCCAUCUGCCCUCAUACUUAUGCAGGUUUCCCAUCACAAGCAGAAGAUGGCUUCAGCAUUCUCAGAUCUCACAUCUUCUAAGAUUCAGUCUAGCAGGAGGGAGAAUUCUCCAGUUUCUUUCCAGCAUUUCUGGAUUUUUCAAGAGAACUUUGGAGUUCCUGGGGGAUGUGUUCUGGUGAUUCUUCCAGAAGAAGAGACAAGUUGGCAGAGAAGGACAGAGGAUGAAUCCUGA
rnacentral:lncRNA from 1 species